GACGAACGCUGGCGGCGUGCUUAACACAUGCAAGUCGAACGGAAAGGCCCUGCUUUUGUGGGGUGCUCGAGUGGCGAACGGGUGAGUAACACGUGAGUAACCUGCCCUUGACUUUGGGAUAACUUCAGGAAACUGGGGCUAAUACCGGAUAGGAGCUCCUGCUGCAUGGUGGGGGUUGGAAAGUUUCGGCGGUUGGGGAUGGACUCGCGGCUUAUCAGCUUGUUGGUGGGGUAGUGGCUUACCAAGGCUUUGACGGGUAGCCGGCCUGAGAGGGUGACCGGGCAGAGGGGGAGGGAGGUGACGCCCAGAGCGGAGGCGGAAGGAGGAGGGGGGGAGAGAGGAAGGGGGGCGGGAGCGUGAUGCAGGAGCGCCGCGGGGGGGAAGACGGGCGUGGGGGUGGAGAGCGAUGCAGAAGGGGAAGAAAAGGGAGUGGAGGGAAAGGGUAAAGAAACACCGGCUAACUACGUG
rnacentral:rRNA from 1 species